UGGGGAAUAUUGGACAAUGGGCGCAAGCCUGAUCCAGCCAUGCCGCGUGAGUGAUGAAGGCCUUAGGGUUGUAAAGCUCUUUCGCCGACGAAGAUAAUGACGGUAGUCGGAGAAGAAGCCCCGGCUAACUUCGUGCCAGUAGCCGCGGUAAUACGAAGGGGGCUAGCGUUGUUCGGAAUCACUGGGCGUAAAGCGCACGUAGGCGGAUUGUUAAGUCAGGGGUGAAAGCCUGGAGCUCAACUCCAGAACUGCCCUUGAUACUGGCAAUCUCGAGUCCGGAAGAGGUAAGUGGAACUGCGAGUGUAGAGGUGAAAUUCGUAGAUAUUCGCAAGAACACCAGUGGCGAAGGCGGCUUACUGGUCCGGUACUGACGCUGAGGUGCGAAAAGCGUGGGGAGCAAAACAGGAUUAGAUACCCUGGUAGUCCACGCCGUAAACGAUGGAGGCUAGCCGUUGGCGAGCAUGCUCGUCAGUGGCGCAGCUAACGCAUUAAGCCUCCCGCCUGGGGAGUACGGUCGCAAGAUUAAAAACUCAAAAGGAAUUGACGGGGGUCAUAGCGUUCGUUU
rnacentral:rRNA from 1 species